GUCCACGCUGUAAACGAUGGCAACUAGAUGUGGGGUGUCGACUCCCCGUCGUCGAAGCUAACGCAUUAAGUUGCCCGCCUGGGGAGUACGGCCGCAAGGCUAAAACUCAAAGGAAUUGACGGGGCCCGCACAAGCAGCGGAGCAUGUGGUUUAAUUCGACGCGACGCGAAGAACCUUACCUGGGCUUGACAUGUGAGUGACCGACGUGGAAAACACGUCUUCCCUUCGGGGCACUUUCACAGGUGGUGCAAUGGCUGUCGU
rnacentral:rRNA from 1 species